CGGGACACGUGGUAUCCUGUCUGAAUAUGGGGGGACCAUCCUCCAAGGCUAAAUACUCCUGACUGACCGAUAGUGAACCAGUACCGUGAGGGAAAGGCGAAAAGAACCCCGGCGAGGGGAGUGAAAAAGAACCUGAAACCGUGUACGUACAAGCAGUGGGAGCACGCUUAGGCGUGUGACUGCGUACCUUUUGUAUAAUGGGUCAGCGACUUAUAUUCUGUAGCAAGGUUAACCGAAUAGGGGAGCCGAAGGGAAACCGAGUCUUAACUGGGCGUUAAGUUGCAGGGUAUAGACCCGAAACCCGGUGAUCUAGCCAUGGGCAGGUUGAAGGUUGGGUAACACUAACUGGAGGACCGAACCGACUAAUGUUGAAAAAUUAGCGGAUGACUUGUGGCUGGGGGUGAAAGGCCAAUCAAACCGGGAGAUAGCUGGUUCUCCCCGAAAGCUAUUUAGGUAGCGCCUCGUGAAUUCAUCUCCGGGGGUAGAGCACUGUUUCGGCAAGGGGGUCAUCCCGACUUACCAACCCGAUGCAAACUGCGAAUACCGGAGAAUGUUAUCACGGGAGACACACGGCGGGUGCUAACGUCCGUCGUGAAGAGGGAAACAACCCAGACCGCCAGCUAAGGUCCCAAAGUCAUGGUUAAGUGGGAAACGAUGUGGGAAGGCCCAGACAGCCAGGAUGUUGGCUUAGAAGCAGCCAUCAUUUAAAGAAAGCGUAAUAGCUCACUGGUCGAGUCGGCCUGCGCGGAAGAUGUAACGGGGCUAAACCAUGCACCGAAGCUGCGGCAGCGACACUAUGUGUUGUUGGGUAGGGGAGCGUUCUGUAAGCCUGUGAAGGUGUACUGUGAGGUAUGCUGGAGGUAUCAGAAGUGCGAAUGCUGACAUAAGUAACGAUAAAGCGGGUGAAAAGCCCGCUCGCCGGAAGACCAAGGGUUCCUGUCCAACGUUAAUCGGGGCAGGGUGAGUCGACCCCUAAGGCGAGGCCGAAAGGCGUAGUCGAUGGGAAACAGGUUAAUAUUCCUGUACUUGGUGUUACUGCGAAGGGGGGACGGAGAAGGCUAUGUUGGCCGGGCGACGGUUGUCCCGGUUUAAGCGUGUAGGCUGGUUUUCCAGGCAAA
rnacentral:rRNA from 1 species